rnacentral:rRNA from 1 species
GAUGAACGCUGACAGAAUGCUUAACACAUGCAAGUCCACUUGAACUUCGGUUUGGGUGGCGGACGGGUGAGUAACGCGUACAGAACUUGCCUCACAGUUAGGGACAACAUUUGGAAACGAAUGCUAAUACCUGAUAUUAUGAUUUUAGGGCAUCCUAGAAUUAUGAAAGCUAUAUGCGCUGUGAGAGAGCUUUGCGUCCCAUUAGCUAGUUGGAGAGGUAACGGCUCACCAAGGCGAUGAUGGGUAGCCGGCCUGAGAGGGUGAACGGCCACAAGGGGACUGAGACACGGCCCUUACUCCUACGGGAGGCAGCAGUGGGGAAUAUUGGACAAUGGACCAAGAGUCUGAUCCAGCAAUUCUGUGUGCACGAUGAAGUUUUUCGGAAUGUAAAGUGCUUUCAGUUGGGAAGAAAAAAAUGACGAUACCAACAGAAGAAGUGACGGCUAAAUACGUG